rnacentral:rRNA from 1 species
GACGAACGCUGGCGGCGUGCUUAACACAUGCAAGUCGAACGAAGAGCGAUGGAAGCUUGCUUCUAUCAAUCUUAGUGGCGAACGGGUGAGUAACGCGUAAUCAACCUGCCCUUCAGAGGGGGACAACAGUUGGAAACGACUGCUAAUACCGCAUACGAUCUGACCUCGGCAUCGAGGAUAGAUGAAAGGUGGCCUCUACAUGUAAGCUAUCACUGAAGGAGGGGAUUGCGUCUGAUUAGCUAGUUGGAGGGGUAACGGCCCACCAAGGCGAUGAUCAGUAGGCUGUGUGAGGGGAUGAACGGCCACCAUGGGAAUGGAACACGGCCCAGACUCCUACGGGAGGCAGCAGUGGGGAAUCUUCCGCAAUUGACGAAAGUCUGACGGAGCAACGCCGCGUGAGUGAUGACGGCCUUCGGGUUGUAAAGCUCUGUUAAUCGGGACGAAAGGCCUUUUUGCGAAUAGUGAGAAGGAUUGACGGUACCGGAAGAGAAAGCCACGGCUAACUACGUG